rnacentral:tRNA from 1 species
GGGGAUUUAGCUCAGCGGUACAGCACUUGCCUAGCAAGCGCAAGGCCCUGGGUUCGAUCCCCAGCUCCG